GGGCCACCGGAGGCUUAAUUAUGUUUUCUUAACUUACAAAAACCUUUGGCCUCGGAAAAUCCCCGCACUCCCCCAAAGUAAUGAAGAUAUUUGGAAGGCCACCCACCAACACCAGAGGUUUUUCCCAGUCUGGUCAGCCGUCCAGAUGGACUGAGCCACAGAGACCUGGAAGCCUAUGGGGACUCCAUCCAAUAAAGGCAAAUAAAGAGAGCCUGAAAGUAUAGCUUGGCACCUACGCAGCAAGCCACUCCUGUCUACAGUGCUCAUGAACCUUCCAGAAUCAUGGAGAAGACCUGCCGUGCAUGGCCCUUAUUGCAAACUGAAAGUGUUUCGAGGCCCAAGGUGGAAAGAAAAAAAAAAGAAGAAAGCAAACCUGGGAAACACAGAAUUCAUUCAGCCCCUUGUAGUCCCGCACUUUGGUCACAGAGGAAACAUCCCCUGACAGCCUGGUGUUCGAAUCUAAUGUGGUCAAAGCAAACUAUGGAGCCGGACCUAUGCAAAUCUCUACAGAAACUCGAGGUUUGCUUCUGCCACAUCUGGGUCUCCCGAGGUCGGAGAGGAUCGUCUUUAAUAUUCCUUGGUAGAUUCCAGGAGCAGCCCCCAUCCAUGGUUUGGAGGACUCGACCCUAUGGAGCGCCCUGGCCUGGAGGUGUGCAGGUUAGAAGGAACCCCAGCUGUGGCACCUCACUAUCCUUCUCUUUCCCGACCCGUUCAAAAAUAAAAAAAUAAACCCCAAU
rnacentral:lncRNA from 1 species